UUUAUUUAAUUUACAAUAUAGAUUAAGAAUUCUAGAUGAGUAUAUUUGUUAGUAAGAAAAUAAUAUUAAUUGUUAUUGUUUACAAAAAAAAGAAGAAUAAAUUUGCACAUUGGAUUCUUAGAAAGAUUACCAUUGGAUUCUCUCUGGCUGUUGCCAGCUCACAGGCCAAUAAUUUCCUCUUACAUAGACACGCGUCUUCCUCCUCUCUCACAAAACACUCACUAUUUUAUCUCUUUCUCUCAUCAUCAACGGUAAAAAUUAAAAAAAAAAAAAAGAGAAUCCAAGGGAGAUCCCCUAACACUCUCACUAACG
rnacentral:lncRNA from 1 species